rnacentral:miRNA from 1 species
CAUGUCUGCCGACCAUCACCU